rnacentral:rRNA from 1 species
AGGACUAACGCUGGCGGCGUGCCUAACACAUGCAAGUCGAACGAGGUAGCAAUACCUAGUGGCAGACGGGUGAGUAACACGUGGUCAACCUGCCUCCGUGUGGGGGAUAACUAGCCGAAAGGUUAGCUAAUACCGCAUACGAUCGCUUAAAGGCAUCUUUGAGCGAUGAAAGGAGUAAUCCGCACGGAGAGGGGACUGCGUCCCAUUAGUUAGUUGGUGGGGUAACGGCCUACCAAGACUCCGAUGGGUAGCUGGCUUGAGAGAGCGACCAGCCACACUGGAACUGAGACACGGUCCAGACUCCUACGGGAGGCAGCAGUGAGGAAUUUUCCGCAAUGGGCGCAAGCCUGACGGAGCGACGCCGCGUGUGGGAAGAAGGCCUUCGGGUCGUAAACCACUGUCGAAGGGGACGAUAUUGACGGUACCCUUGGAGGAAGCCCCGGCUAGCUACGUGCCAGCAGCCGC